UACACAGAUGGGAGCAACUUGGGGUUCAGUAUCUUGCCCAAGGACACUUCGGCAUACAGACCGGGGAGCGAACCGUCGAUCAUCUGAUUAGUGGACGACCCGCUCUGCCUGUGAGCCACAGCCGUCCCAGUAUGUUUUUUUUCUCCUUCUGGCCUGAGAAAUAAACUUUUAUUCGUAUGUUUUGGAUAGCGGAAAGGCCUACACUACCCAUAAGGCUCGACCACCGAUGAUUUGUCACGCCCCUUCACCUCUGAUACGCAAAAGGUAUCUUCCCAGGUCUGUGAGCACGAGCACGAGCAGAAGAUGAAGAUGAAGACUGUGAAGAAGAAAUAGAUUGUAACGCAGUUUGAAAAAUUAGUGAUUCAGAGGAUCUUGAAUUGGAGGAAGCGCUUCAGGGUGCCAACAAACUCCUUCAGGAUAUGGAGAAAUGGAUCAAACUGAUGGCAGCCUUGGAGCACUGCAGGCACGAAUAGAGGAGCUUGUCGUUAUCAUCAGAGUGCGAAAACAAAAUCUUUACAGGCAAACUGCAACAAGAGGCGACAUAGAAUUCGCAAGGUCAUCUUGGAUGAGAAAAAACGCUUGGCGGCUGCUGUCGACGAUUACAACAAGCUGGCUGAACCAUCAAAGCAAAUUAUGUCCAGUGAUGCCCUCAUCCAGACCAACGUAUGGCCCUGGCAGAACACAAGUGAACGCAAGGGUGUCCCAAAUCAACUGGCUCUGGGUGGAUGCC